rnacentral:rRNA from 1 species
ACCAGACUCCUACGGGAGGCAGCAGUGGGGAAUAUUGCACAAUGGGGGAAACCCUGAUGCAGCGACGCCGCGUGAGCGAUGAAGUAUUUCGGUAUGUAAAGCUCUAUCAGCAGGGAAGAAAAUGACGGUACCUGACUAAGAAGCCCCGGCUAACUACGUGCCAGCAGCCGCGGUAAUACGUAGGGGGCAAGCGUUAUCCGGAUUUACUGGGUGUAAAGGGAGCGUAGACGGCGAUGCAAGCCAGAUGUGAAAGCCCGGGGCUCAACCCCGGGACUGCAUUUGGAACUGUAUAGCUAGAGUGUCGGAGAGGCAGGCGGAAUUCCUGGUGUAGCGGUGAAAUGCGUAGAUAUCAGGAGGAACACCGGUGGCGAAGGCGGCCUGCUGGACUGCAACUGACGUUGAGGCCCGAAAGCGUGGGGAGCAAACAGGAUUAGAUACCCUCGUACC